AUUGAACGCUGGCGGCAGGCCUAACACAUGCAAGUCGAACGCGUGGCGGACGGGUGAGUAAUGUUUGGGAAUCUAGCUUAUGGAGGGGGAUAACUACGGGAAACUGUAGCUAAUACCGCGUACCAUAGGAUGAGCCCAAGUGGGAUUAGGUAGUUGGUGAGGUAAAGGCUCACCAAGCCGACGAUCUCUAGCUGGUCUGAGAGGAUGACCAGCCACACUGGGACUGAGACACGGCCCAGACUCCUACGGGAGGCAGCAGUGGGGAAUAUUGCGCAAUGGGGGCAACCCUGAUGCAGCCAUGCCGCGUGAAUGAAGAAGGCCUUCGGGUUGUAAAGGACUUUUAUCAGGGAAGCGGUACCUGAAGAAUAAGCACCGGCUAACUACGUGCCAGCAGCCGCGGUAAUUC
rnacentral:rRNA from 1 species